rnacentral:lncRNA from 1 species
GGCCUACCAAAGUGCUGGGAUUACAGGUGUGAGCCAUGGCGCCUGGCCUCCAAUGGGGCUUUUAAAAGUCAUGUAGCAUAAGGCUGAGGAAUCACCCCAACUUGGGGGUGAGCAUCACUGAAGAUCCUAAGUCUCAUGUAACCUGAGCCAACAAAGAGUUAUGUGCAGGUAAGGAUACUCUCAAGUGAUCUAGUGGGGGUGGCUCCCUUUGCUUCAUGUGGAUUGGUGAGUAAGGAAAGCCUAUGAUGAUGAUGACCAUGAUGAUGAUGAUGAUGAUGAUGAUGAUUGAAGCAUGAUGCUGAGAGGAAGGGUUCACCCUAACCCGAUGACUGCAGGAGAGAAAGAGCCAACAAAGGAAUGAGGAAGCUCUUCCUGCACCCUAGUGAACAGGCUGACUUUCUAAUUAUCUGUGGACUGUGAAUCUCUGCCUUUGUAGAUCUGGAGUCAAAGCUGCCACCUAAACAACCAGAAGGAAAGGCACCAUCUUACACAAAAAGCAAACCUCAGGCCAGGCGCGGUGGCUCAUGCCUGUAAUCCCAGCACUUUGGAAGGCCGAGGUGGGCGGAUCAUGAGGUCAGGAGAUUGAGACCAUCCUGGCUAACACGGUGAAACCCCAUCUCAACAAAAAUGCAAAAUAUUAGCCAGGCCUGGUGGCGGGUGCCUGUAGUCCCAGCUGCUUGGGAGGCUGAGGCAGGAGAAUCGCUUGAACCCGGGAGGCGGAGCUUGCAGUGAGCUGAGAUCACACCACUGCACUCCAGCCUGGGCGACAGAGCCAGACUCUGUCUCAAAAAAAAAAAAAAAAGCAAACCUCCUGACCCCCACCCUCAGUUUUCAGAGGCACAGACAGCAGAGGAGCUACAUUUGCAGAGAAGAUGAUGAAGGAAGACAGCAGCUCACUGGAGAGUGAUUCCUGUGAGGGCAAGUUUUCAGGGACCGAGCACAGCAGGGACAAGGAAGCUGCCAGAAGCCACUCCCACUGCAAACAGUUCCAAAAAUAAGGGAAACUCAGCAAGGGAAAGAGGGUGGAGGGAAUGGCAAAGAGGUGGGCACCGAGGGCAGCUCCCAAAAAGGACAUUAGGGCAGGGAUUAGUUGCAAGAGGAGGAGAUGGAAGAGAUGAAAGUGGAAAGAGCUGACUCUAGAUUGGGGCAAGAUCAAGGGGACAUCAAGGGUCCUACCCAGCAGCAACACUAAGUCUCUGAAAUUAGAAUUGCAGGAUCAUCCAGGGAGCAGAAUCCUUCUACCUUUAGCUGCCUGAAACUUCACCAAGAUGUACAUAUUUGGACUUCAGGAACAUAAUUACAACUAUAUCCCCUGCUUGGAUUGCCAGACCUCUCCCACGUAUAGAUGGGACUAUUAUCCCAGCUCUGCCACCCCUACGCAGUUGAAAAAAAUACCAAAACAGAUAUCAGCGAUAUGGAUGUGAUAUUGUGAUAUAAUAAGAAAUAUAUAUUUGGUUUUCCUCCUUCAGUUUUGGCACAGUGGGUUCCAGCACACAGCUCCUAAAACCCUUAGAAUUUCCUAAGUGAGCCAGGUGCAGUGGUACAUGCCUGUAGUCCCAGUUUCUCAGGAGGCUGAGGUGGGAGGAUUGCACCUGUGAAUAGCCACUGUACUGAAGACUGGGUAACAUAGUGAGACCUUAUCUCUAGAAACAAAUUUUUUAGUUAAAAAAAAUUAAAGAAUAUCCUGAGUGUUAGGAGGGGAGCAUCUUUAUUAUUUGUAAUAAGCCCCUUUCUUCUUCUUCUUUUUUUUUUUUUUUUGAGAUGGAGU